UUCAACCAUGGGCAUGCAUUUGAAACUGGGUGGCUUGAGUGCAGGAGAGGAGAGUGGAAUUCCUGGUGUAGCGGUGAAAUGCGUAGAUAUCAGGAGGAACACCAGUGGCGAAGGCGACUCUCUGGACUGUAACUGACGCUGAGGCACGAAAGCUGGGGGAGCAAACAGGAUUAGAUACCCUGGCAGUCCCAGCCGUAAACGAUGGGUACUAGGUGUGGGAGGUAUCGACCCCUCCCGUGCCGGAGUUAACGCAAUAAGUACCCCGCCUGGGGAGUACGGCCGCAAGGCUGAAACUCAAAGGAAUUGACGGGGGCCCGCACAAGCGGUGGAGCAUGUGGUUUAAUUCGAAGCAACGCGAAGAACCUUACCAGGGCUUGACAUCCCUCGAAUGCUACCGAAAGGUAGAGGCUCCUUUGGAGCGA
rnacentral:rRNA from 1 species